AAAAUGGUCAACAAACCUAAUUAAAGUUUCACAUAACAUCCUUGCUAACUCUAGCCAUCAAUUCAUCCGGUUCUACGUUUUGAGACAGGAAGUGAUCAUAAAAAGGGACCCGUCAUUUUUAAUACGUUUUUUUCUGUGUGUGUAUGGGAUUUUUUUUUUUUUUCAGUUAUGCCAAGGAGUAAUCAGUAUUCGGCUGUCUUCCCCAGAGUUUAUUGGUGGCCCGGCGCUUAUUAGAGAUUGCUAUUUGCUCUUUUUUUACUCAACGCCCUAUGGGUGGCGACAAGAGGAAAGCCCCUCUCAGUUUUUUUCGAUGGCUGUGGUAUUGAGAACCGUGUACUCCAAUGUCUUCGGUUGGACAACUCAGAUUUGCCGAGAUUUGCGACCUGUGUAAAACAGCAGCAUGGACCCCUGGUGAUUGAUAUCCGUGAACACCAGUUAGACUGCACCUGCAAGUUUCUGGAUUUUGCCAAAAUGACUGCAACUGAUUCGAGAUUUGUCUUGUUUCACAGUAUCGACUGCAGUUCCAAGACCAUUGAAAAGUGUGUUAUGAAACCAGAUACCAAGCAUCUGUCCAGACAGGGUGCUCCCUCCUAUGCCUUGUUUGGUGGACAGAUCUUUGACAGCUCUUCCUCUGAUUUGAGGGACCACUUGGUCCGUAUGGACAAGCAAAAGAGAAGGAUUAUACAGUCUCUGAAGAAUCCCUUGGUCAGGGAGAAAUAUGAUGCAGCUCUGACCAUCUUAGAUACUGGUGAGUGAUUUACACGAACUAACCCAAGUUUGCU
rnacentral:misc_RNA from 1 species